GGAUUAGAUACCCUGGUAGUCCACGCCGUAAACGAUGAUAACUAGCUGUCCGGGUUCAUGGAAUUUGGGUGGCGCAGCUAACGCAUUAAGUUAUCCGCCUGGGGAGUACGGUCGCAAGAUUAAAACUCAAAGGAAUUGACGGGGGGCCUGCACAAGCGGUGGAGCAUGUGGUUUAAUUCGAAGCAACGCGCAGAACCUUACCAGCGUUUGACAUCCUCAUCGCGGAUUUCAGAGAUGAUUUCCUUCAGUUCGGCUGGAUGAGUGACAGGUGCUGCAUGGCUGUCGUCAGCUCGUGUCGUGAGUAUUGG
rnacentral:rRNA from 1 species